AUGAACGCUGGCGGCGUGCCUAAUACCUGCAAGUCGAGCGAACGGACGAGUAGCUUUCUUCUCUGAUGUUAGCGGCGGACGGGUGAGUAACACGUGGAUAACCUACCUAUUAGUCUGGGAUAACUUCGGGAAACCGUAGCUAUUUCCGGUUAAUAUUUUUAACCUCUUUGUUCAAUUGUUCAAGUCGGUCUUGCUCUCACUUAUACAUUGAUCCUCGCUGCAUUAGAUAGUUGGUAAGGUAACGGCUUACCAAGGCAACGAUGCAUAGCCGACAUGAGAGGGUGAUCGGAAAAACGGGAACUGAGACACGGUCAAGACAACUACGGGAGGCAGCAGUAGGGAAAAUUACGCAAUGGGCGAAAGCAUGACGGAGCAACGCCGCGUGAGUGAUGAAGGACUAAGGAUCGUAAAACUCUGUUAUUAGGGAAGAAAAAAAGUGUAAGAAACUGUGCACAUCAUGACGGUAACUAAACAGAAAGCAACGGCUAACUACGUG
rnacentral:rRNA from 1 species